UACGUAGGCAGCGAGCGUUGUUCGGAAUUACUGGGCGUAAAGAGUGUGUAGGCGGUGCUCUAAGUUCGGUGUGAAAUCUCCCGGCUUAACUGGGAGGGUGCGCCGGAAACUGGAGUGCUCGAACGUGGGAGAGGAAAGCGGAAUUCCCGGUGUAGCGGUGAAAUGCGUAGAUAUCGGGGAGGAACACCUGCGGUGUAGACGGCUUUCUGGACCAUUGUUGACGCUGAGACACGAAAGCGUGGGUAGCAAACAGG
rnacentral:rRNA from 1 species